UACAGAGGUGUCAAGCGUUGUUCGGAUUCAUUGGGCGUAAAGGGUGCGUAGGCGGCGCGGUAAGUCGGGUGUGAAAUCUUGGAGCUUAACUCCGAAACUGCAUUCGAUACUGCCGUGCUUGAGGACUGGAGAGGAGACUGGAAUUUACGGUGUAGCGGUGAAAUGCGUAGAUAUCGUAAGGAAGACCAGUGGCGAAGGCGGGUCUCUGGACAGUUCCUGACGCUGAGGCACGAAGGCCAGGGGAGCAAACGGG
rnacentral:rRNA from 1 species